CAUGAUGGAGACCGCGGCGCCAUGUUUCCCGAACUGGGUGGAGAUCUCGAAGCCGAUCCCCGACCCGCCGCCGGUCAGCAGCGCCACCUUCCCCCUCAGUAUGUCCGCCUUGAACGGUGACUCCAUCGCCAUCGAUUGUCUCAAUGUACCAGCUGAAGCUGCACUAUAUGGACCACGGGAUCACGGAACUGUGGGGCGAUUGUGACCGUCGGAUUGAAUUCUAG
rnacentral:misc_RNA from 1 species